rnacentral:rRNA from 1 species
GGCGGCAGGCCUAACACAUGCAAGUCGAGCGGUAACAGAGAGUAGCUUGCUACUUUGCUGACGAGCGGCGGACGGGUGAGUAAUGCUUGGGAACAUGCCUUGAGGUGGGGGACAACAGUUGGAAACGACUGCUAAUACCGCAUAAUGUCUACGGACCAAAGGGGGCUUCGGCUCUCGCCUUUAGAUUGGCCCAAGUGGGAUUAGCUAGUUGGUGAGGUAAUGGCUCACCAAGGCGACGAUCCCUAGCUGGUUUGAGAGGAUGAUCAGCCACACUGGGACUGAGACACGGCCCAGACUCCUACGGGAGGCAGCAGUGGGGAAUAUUGCACAAUGGGCGCAAGCCUGAUGCAGCCAUGCCGCGUGUGUGAAGAAGGCCUUCGGGUUGUAAAGCACUUUCAGUCAGGAGGAAAGGUUAGUAGUUAAUACCUGCUAGCUGUGACGUUACUGACAGAAGAAGCACCGGCUAACUCCGUGCCAGCAGCCGCGGUAAUACGGAGGGUGCGAGCGUUAAUCGGAAUUACUGGGCGUAAAGCGUACGCAGGCGGUUUGUUAAGCGAGAUGUGAAAGCCCCGGGCUCAACCUGGGAACUGCAUUUCGAACUGGCAAACUAGAGUGUGAUAGAGGGUGGUAGAAUUUCAGGUGUAGCGGUGAAAUGCGUAGAGAUCUGAA